rnacentral:rRNA from 1 species
GACGAACGCUGGCGGCGUGCUUAACACAUGCAAGUCGAACGAUGAUCAGGAGCUUGCUCCUGUGAUUAGUGGCGAACGGGUGAGUAACACGUGAGUAACCUGCCCCUUACUCUGGGAUAAGCGUUGGAAACGACGUCUAAUACUGGAUAUGAUCACUGGCCGCAUGGUCUGGUGGUGGAAAGAUUUUUUGGUUGGGGAUGGACUCGCGGCCUAUCAGCUUGUUGGUGAGGUAAUGGCUCACCAAGGCGACGACGGGUAGCCGGCCUGAGAGGGUGACCGGCCACACUGGGACUGAGACACGGCCCAGACUCCUACGGGAGGCAGCAGUGGGGAAUAUUGCACAAUGGGCGAAAGCCUGAUGCAGCAACGCCGCGUGAGGGAUGACGGCCUUCGGGUUGUAAACCUCUUUUAGUAGGGAAGAAGCGAAAGUGACGGUACCUGCAGAAAAAGCACCGGCUAACUACGUG